rnacentral:rRNA from 1 species
UGUGAGGCAUGCUGGAGGUAUCAGAAGUGCGAAUGCUGACAUAAGUAACGAUAAAGCGGGUGAAAAGCCCGCUCGCCGGAAGACCAAGGGUUCCUGUCCAACGUUAAUCGGGGCAGGGUGAGUCGACCCCUAAGGCGAGGCCGAAAGGCGUAGUCGAUGGGAAACAGGUUAAUAUUCCUGUACUUGGUGUUACUGCGAAGGGGGGACGGAGAAGGCUAUGUUGGCCGGGCGACGGUUGUCCCGGUUUAAGCGUGU